CAUAUCAUAGUCUCUGUCAAAAGAGCAAUACUACUUACCACUUCACAUAUUAGUGGAUGAACUGCAUCUGAAAUUGGUCCAACCUGGCUGCACAAGGAACUCUUUGGUCAACACAAUUCUUAAAAUUAGAGGGUAUGAGAUGAGAAAGAGAACCAUCUGGGCAUAGAGAAUUGGCACCAAGCAAGAGCAAGGAACCAGACAUCAGUUACGGAAAAUGUAUCCCCACAUCACAUCAUGGGAGCCUAGCUCACAGACACUGCCAAUGGAAAUUGCAGAAAUAGAUCAACUGCAAAAGGGUCUUCGCGGCAGAACCUGGCCGUCCCAACAGCCUGCGGAGGUUUCGGGUUGGAUCUCGCGUUCGCUCCACUGCUUGGCCUGCGCUUCAGCCUCUAGCGACCAAAGACACCCAUGCCACCGUCGGCAGCUCCAUGCUCGCGAACUUAGACUUCAGACCUCUGUUUCACUGCAGUAAUUAAAGAGACCAUGGUGGGGAUAGGGCGGAAAGUUAUGUUCAAUAAAUACCUUUUAAAUGA
rnacentral:lncRNA from 1 species